CAAGAUGUAGCUUAACCAAAGCACCCGGCUUACACCCGGAAGACUUCACUUUCCCAUGAACAUCUUGA
rnacentral:tRNA from 2 species